CGCGACCCCCGCUCCGUCCCGCCCACCGGCGUGAGCCCCCGGGUCAGGGCCGCGCUCUCCGCGCCCGGCGGCGCCCGGCCGCCCUUCCCUCCCUGAGGGGAGGAGAAAGAGAAAGGAGCCGCAGCCGGCGUGGGCCGGCGUUGCGGGCCAGCGACACGCCGAGACGCUCAGGCUUCCCCACCUGCUUCCAACUGACGGAAGUGUGAAGUGAGGUGUGGCCAACCCUACCUGGCCCAGUUUAUGUAGACCCUUCUAAAUCGAACCAUUUUGCAGUUGCACCAACAGUGUGUAUGUCUCUCAGGAAUUUAAAUUGUGAGAUUUAGAGAGAGUGGUUCUGUUGGUAGCAGGAUUGGAAGCUGAAAAAGUGCACAGAGAGCAGCCACGAGGAAGCAGAGGCCACGAAUAAGCAGAGGAGAAAAGAUGCAAAGAGACAGCCCCGAGAGAGGAAGCGGUAGGUAGUUGGCUGGUUGGUCGUAGGGGAGGAACAUUAAAAUCAAAACAACUACUAGUACAAUCGAUGUGGGUUAUUGACAAAACUCUGCUGCUCAGGCUCCAACGAAUUUGCAAAAUAUGUUAAGAGAUCCAAAGAAAAAUGUGUUUAGCAGAAGGGGUAUUUGUUCCUCAUGGACGUGGACAGGCUGUUCUCUCGCUCUCCGGCUGCUGCUACAUCAGUAGCAGUUCUCCCAACGCGUCAGAAGCCCAGCUGCCAGCUCUCGCUUGGACUGUACACACUGCACUCUUUGGGGCCUGCCUGCCCUGAGCACUCCCUAAUGUAGGAGACCUCAGACUCAACUUCUUUCUCUGGGACACCCCCACCAGUCCCUGCCAGGGACAAUCUAUUAAUAACCUAUAUCCUUUUGUUGUUGAGGGAUCCUCGUCUGCAGGUGCUUCUUGGGGAGUGCCAGCAGGAGCCUUAAACCCCAGCCACCUUUUGUGCUAUCCAGUGUGACUCACAUGUGGCAAACUUACAUACAUAAUUCAAGGAGGAAGGGCAUGUAGGCAGCUCCCAUCCUGGUGCUCUUCUCUUAGCACUAGACCGUCUUUCUCCUCCCUUCCUUCACUCCCAAGGGCUUUGGAAAAGCUCAUCCAGGUCAAUGGUUCAGUGAAUUCAGGCAAGUUCUCAGCUUGGGGAGGGAGAGAGAAGCUUGUUGGACCUUAAAACUUGUGGGAAGAGAAUGUGGGAAUAAGUGGAAUGGCUCCCAUCUCUUUCCACUAGGGACAGGCAAUGGACUCCGGUUGCCGUCUACAGUAAAUACUAGUCACUCAUGGAUAUAUGAACUACUUGGAAAAAUUUCAAAUGCCUAUUUUUGUUGAAGAAUUUAUAAUAAAAUGAUUAAUAUUAAUAAUUGACCUUCAAGCAUAAAAAUAUUGAUAUGA